rnacentral:rRNA from 1 species
ACACAUGCAAGUCGAGGGGCAGCAUGGUCUUAGCUUGCUAAGGCCGAUGGCGACCGGCGCACGGGUGAGUAACACGUAUCCAACCUGCCGUCUACUCUUGGACAGCCUUCUGAAAGGAAGAUUAAUACAAGAUGGCAUCAUGAGUCCGCAUGUUCACAUGAUUAAAGGUAUUCCGGUAGACGAUGGGGAUGCGUUCCAUUAGAUAGUAGGCGGGGUAACGGCCCACCUAGUCUCCGAUGGAUAGGGGUUCUGAGAGGAAGGUCCCCCACAUUGGAACUGAGACACGGUCCAAACUCCUACGGGAGGCAGCAGUGAGGAAUAUUGGUCAAUGGGCGAGAGCCUGAACCAGCCAAGUAGCGUGAAGGAUGACUGCCCUAUGGGUUGUAAACUUCUUUUAUAAAGGAAUAAAGUCGGGUAUGGAUACCCGUUUGCAUGUACUUUAUGAAUAAGGAUCGGCUAACUCCGUGCCAGCAGCCGCGGUAAUACGGAGGAUCCGAGCGUUAUCCGGAUUUAUUGGGUUUAAAGGGAGCGUAGAUGGAUGUUUAAGUCAGUUGUGAAAGUUUGCGACUCAACCGUAAAAUUGCAGUUGAUACUGGAUAUCUUGAGUGCAGUUGAGGCAGGCGGAAUUCGUGGUGUAGCGGUGAAAUGCUUAGAUAUCACGAAGAACUCCGAUUGCGAAGGCA